rnacentral:misc_RNA from 1 species
AACGCACAUUGCGCUUCCUGGUAUUCCGGGAAGCAUGCCCGUUUCAGAAUCAAUAUAAAACCUCAUCUAGCUUGGGCGAGCUCUCGGGCUGUCCCUUGUUCAGGUGGAUUUGGAUUUUUGCGGUUUUGCAAUCAUCUCAAAAGCAUUGUAUGUGCGCCAAUUGAUCUUCUUUUGGUUGUCCAAAGUGCAACAGAGCAAUCUAUUUCGCUAAGACAGCUGGCUGGGAGCUUGGUCGUGCUUACCUUAAACUCAUUUACAGACUACAGAUCGGUAUGAUCUGUAAACCUGAGAACUUGAUCUGAAAUCGGGCAGGAAAACCCGCUGAACUUAA